GUCGACGGCCACACCACUGUGACAACUCCCGAUCUCGUCUGAUCUCAGAAGCUAUACAUGGGCGUGUCCGGUUCGUACUUGAAUGGGAGACCGACCUGGGAAUACCUGGUGAGGUAACCU
rnacentral:rRNA from 1 species